rnacentral:rRNA from 1 species
GAUGAACGCUGGCGGCGUGCCUAAGACAUGCAAGUCGAGCGAACAGACGAGGCGCUUGCUUCUCUGACGUUAGAGGCGGACGGGAGAGUAACAUGUGGAUAACCUACCUAUAAGUCUGGGAUAACUUCGGGACACCGGAGCUUAUACCGGAUAAUAUAUUGAACCGCACGGCUCACUAGUGAAAGUCGGGUUUGCGUUCACUUAUCGCUGGAUCCGCGCUGUAUUAGCAAGUUGGUACGGUAAAAGUGUACGAAGGCAACGCUGCGCAGCCGACCUGUUAGGGUGAUCGGCUACACUGUAACUGAGACACCGUCCAGACUCCUACGGGAGGCAGCAGUCGCGAUUCCUCCACAAUGGUCGCAAGUCUUGCGAAGCUACCCGCCGCGGGUGACGAAGCUCUUCGGGUCGGAAGACUGUCCUUCUAGGGGACAACAGGUGUGUAAGUAACGAUGCACGUCUUGACGGUACCUUGUAAGCAAGCCACGGCUAACUACGUG